rnacentral:rRNA from 1 species
UACGAAGGGGGCUAGCGUUGUUCGGAAUUACUGGGCGUAAAGGGUUUGUAGGUGGCUUGUUAAGUCAGACGUGAAAUCCCUCAGCUUAACUGGGGAACUGCGUCUGAUACUGGCGAGCUUGAGUGCAGGAGAGGAACGCGGAAUUCCAGGUGUAGCGGUGAAAUGCGUAGAUAUCUGGAGGAACACCGGUGGCGAAGGCGGCGUUCUGGACUGCAACUGACACUGAGAAACGAAAGCCAGGGUAGCAAACGGG